rnacentral:rRNA from 1 species
UUAGAGUUUGAUCCUGGCUCAGGACGAACGCUGGCGGCGUGCUUAACACAUGCAAGUCGAACGAUGAUGCCCAGCUUGCUGGGUGGAUUAGUGGCGAACGGGUGAGUAACACGUGAGUAACCUGCCCCUGACUCUGGGAUAAGCGUUGGAAACGACGUCUAAUACUGGAUAUGACUGCCGGCCGCAUGGUCUGGUGGUGGAAAGAUUUUUUGGUUGGGGAUGGACUCGCGGCCUAUCAGCUUGUUGGUGAGGUAAUGGCUCACCAAGGCGACGACGGGUAGCCGGCCUGAGAGGGUGACCGGCCACACUGGGACUGAGACACGGCCCAGACUCCUACGGGAGGCAGCAGUGGGAAUAUUGCACAAUGGGCGAAAGCCUGAUGCAGCAACGCCGCGUGAGGGAUGACGGCCUUCGGGUUGUAAACCUCUUUUAGUAGGGAAGAAGCGAAAGUGACGGUACCUGCAGAAAAAGCACCGGCUAACUACGUGCCAGCAGCCGCGGUAAUACGUAGGGUGCAAGCGUUGUCCGGAAUUAUUGGGCGUAAAGAGCUCGUAGGCGGUUUGUCGCGUCUGCUGUGAAAUCCCGAGGCUCAACCUCGGGCUUGCAGUGGGUACGGGCAGACUAGAGUGCGGUAGGGGAGAUUGGAAUUCCUGGUGUAGCGGUGGAAUGCGCAGAUAUCAGGAGGAACACCGAUGGCGAAGGCAGAUCUCUGGGCCGUAACUGACGCUGAGGAGCGAAAGCGUGGGGAGCGAACAGGAUUAGAUACCCUGGUAGCCCACGCCGUAAACGUUGGGCGCUAGAUGUAGGGACCUUUCCACGGUUUCUGUGUCGUAGCUAACGCAUUAAGCGCCCCGCCUGGGGAGUACGGCCGCAAGGCUAAAACUCAAAGGAAUUGACGGGGGCCCGCACAAGCGGCGGAGCAUGCGGAUUAAUUCGAUGCAACGCGAAGAACCUUACCAAGGCUUGACAUACACCGGAAACGGCCAGAGAUGGUCGCCCCCUUGUGGUCGGUGUACAGGUGGUGCAUGGUUGUCGUCAGCUCGUGUCGCGAGAUGUUGGGUUAAGUCCCGCAACGAGCGCAACCCUCGUUCUAUGUUGCCAGCGCGUUAUGGCGGGGACUCAUAGGAGACUGCCGGGGUCAACUCGGAGGAAGGUGGGGAUGACGUCAAAUCAUCAUGCCCCUUAUGUCUUGGGCUUCACGCAUGCUACAAUGGCCGGUACAAAGGGCUGCGAUACCGUAAGGUGGAGCGAAUCCCAAAAAGCCGGUCUCAGUUCGGAUUGAGGUCUGCAACUCGACCUCAUGAAGUCGGAGUCGCUAGUAAUCGCAGAUCAGCAACGCUGCGGUGAAUACGUUCCCGGGCCUUGUACACACCGCCCGUCAAGUCAUGAAAGUCGGUAACACCCGAAGCCGGUGGCCUAACCCUUGUGGAAGGAGCCGUCGAAGGUGGGAUCGGUGAUUAGGACUAAGUCGUAACAAGGUAGCCGUA